rnacentral:rRNA from 1 species
CCUACGGGAGGCAGCAGUAGGGAAUCUUCCACAAUGGGCGAAAGCCUGAUGGAGCAACGCCGCGUGGGUGAAGGAGGUCUUCGGCACGUAAAACCCUGUUGGUAGAGAAGAAAGUGCGUGAGAGUAACUGUUCACGUUUCGACGGUAUCUAACCCGAAAGCCACGGCUAACUGCGUGCCAGGAGCCGCGGGAAUACGUAGGGGGCCAGCGGUAUCCGGAUUUAUUGGGGGGAAAGGGAACGGAGGAGGUCUUAGAAGUCCGAUGUGAAAGCCUUGGGCUUAACCGGUGUAGUGCAUUGGAAACUGGGAGACUUGAGUGCAGAAGAGGAGAGUGGAACUCCAUGUGUAGCGGUGAAAUGCGUAGAUAUAAGGAAGAACACCAGUGGCGAAGGCGGCUUUCUGGUCUGUAACUGACGCUGAGGUUCGAAAGCGUGGGUAGCGAACAGGAUUAGAUACCCAUGUAGUC